UUGGACCUGAUAUCAAGUAAGAUUACCCGCUGAACUUAAGCAUAUUAAUAAGCGGAGGAAAAGAAACUAACAAGGAUUCCCCUAGUAACGGCGAGUGAAGCGGGAUGAGCUCAAGCUUAAAAUCUCUGUGCCAGUUUGGCAUGGCGAAUUGUAGUCUAUGGAGGCGCUGUCAGUGCGAUUGUUCGGGGUAAGUUCCUUGGAAGAGGACAGCAUCGAGGGUGAUACUCCCGUAUGUACCUGUUCAAUUGCGCGUACGACACGUUUUCUUCGAGUCGCGUUGUUUGGGAAUGCAGCGCAAAGUAGGUGGUAAAUUCCAUCUAAAGCUAAAUAUUGGUGCGAGACCGAUAGCGAACAAGUACCGUGAGGGAAAGAUGAAAAGAACUUUGAAAAGAGAGUUAAAGAGUACCUGAAACUGCUGAAAGGGAACCGAAUCGUAUCCAGUGUCUAUAAUCCAUGGCAUAUUUCAUUGGCGAGUGAGUGCGUGCAGCGUUUUGGAAGUGGUUUUCCGCUCCUGUCGUUGUUGUGCAUUUGCUUGCUGGUGCCCUGUGCUGUGGUGGGACGUCAGAGUCAGUUUGUGUGUCGCGGGAAAUGGUUAUUGGGGAGGUAGGUCGCUUCGGUGGCUAUUAUAUCCUGGUAACUAGUCGUCGUGGCUGAGACUGAGGUGCCUACAAUGUGCUUUCGAGUGUGCGAGUUUCUCGUGUGGCUGUUUGCUUUGAUAGCUUGCUAUGUUGGUGAAUAAGUUGUGCGAUUGAGACCUGUAUUAACUUGUUGCCGUUCGGGACUUUGACGAAAUGGAGCGAUCCGACCCGUCUUGAAACACGGACCAAGGAGUCUAACAUGUGUGCAAGUGUUAGGGUGUGGAAACCCCAGCGCGAAAUGAAAGUAAAGGACAGCCUAGCUGUCUGAGGUAGGAAACCUUUGUUUACAGGGGUGGCACUAUCGACCGAUCAUGAACCUUCGUGGUGAAAGAUUUGAGUUUGAGCACAUAUGUUGGUACCCGAAAGAUGGUGAACUAUGCCUGAGUAGGGUGAAGCCAGGGGAAACUCUGGUGGAGGCUCGUAGCGAUUCUGACGUGCAAAUCGAUCGUCAAACUUGGGUAUAGGGGCGAAAGACUAAUCGAACCAUCUAGUAGCUGGUUCCCUCCGAAAUUUCCCUCAGGAUAGCAGCAACUUAUUUACGAUAGUUUUAUGAGGUAAAGCGAAUGAUUAGAGGAUUCGGGGAAGAAACUUCCUUGACCUAUUCUCAAACUUUAAAUCUGUAAGACCUGCAGGUUUCUUAAUUGAACUUGUGGAUGUGAAUAUCAAGUUGCUAGUGGGCCAUACCGGGUAAGCUGGUCUGGCG
rnacentral:rRNA from 1 species